ensembl:lncRNA
GGAAACCAGUACAAAGAAUCGCUUCUCCGACUGCGCGUAACAAUGACGUACAUCCCUAAUCUCCAGUCGUAUCCGGCCCGAUCUCUUGCCUUGAAGAGAUUCCUCGCUCCAACCACUUGGGUGCAGGAGCAGCUCAGUGGCAGCACAAGUUGUCAUCUGCUGGAUGAGAGUGAAUCCAUUUCCAGAUCCUCACUGCAGGAUCCACUUCUUUCACUGGCUCGUACGAGCUUGAAUAUGCGUAACCUUAAGGCACAUUUUCUUAGACUUCUUGAUUCAGCAAAAACUCAGAUGAGCAGAUUCCCUAUGGAUGGCUCAGGAAUCUCCAGUCCUCGCACC